rnacentral:rRNA from 4 species
CAUGCAAGUCGAACGGAAGUUUAAGCAAUUAAACUUUAGUGGCGAACGGGUGAGUAACGCGUAAGCAAUCUGCCCCUAAGACGAGGAUAACAGUUGGAAACGACUGCUAAGACUGGAUAGGAGACAAGAAGGCAUCUUCUUGUUUUUAAAAGACCUAGCAAUAGGUAUGCUUAGGGAGGAGCUUGCGUCACAUUAGUUAGUUGGUGGGGUAAAGGCCUACCAAGACUAUGAUGUGUAGCCGGGCUGAGAGGUUGAACGGCCACAUUGGGACUGAGACACGGCCCAAACUCCUACGGGAGGCAGCAGUAGGGAAUUUUCGGCAAUGGAGGAAACUCUGACCGAGCAACGCCGCGUGAACGAUGAAGUAUUUCGGUACGUAAAGUUCUUUUAUUAGGGAAGAAUAAAUGAUGGAAAAAUCAUUCUGACGGUACCUAAUGAAUAAGCCCCGGCUAACUAUGUGCCAGCAGCCGCGGUAAUACAUAGGGGGCAAGCGUUAUCCGGAAUUAUUGGGCGUAAAGGGUGCGUAGGCGGUUAAAUAAGUUUAUGGUCUAAGUGCAAUGCUCAACAUUGUGAUGCUAUAAAAACUGUUUAGCUAGAGUAAGAUAGAGGCAAGUGGAAUUCCAUGUGUAGUGGUAAAAUGCGUAAAUAUAUGGAGGAACACCAGUAGCGAAGGCGGCUUGCUGGGUCUUUACUGACGCUGAGGCACGAAAGCGUGGGGAGCAAACAGGAUUAGAUACCCUGGUAGUCCACGCCGUAAACGAUGAGUACUAAACGUUGGGUAAAACCAGUGUUGAAGUUAACACAUUAAGUACUCCGCCUGAGUAGUACGUACGCAAGUAUGAAACUUAAAGGAAUUGACGGGACUCCGCACAAGCGGUGGAUCAUGUUGUUUAAUUCGAAGGUACCCGAAAAACCUCACCAGGUCUUGACAUGCUUCUGCAAAGCUGUAGAAACACAGUGGAGGUUAUCAGUUGCACAGGUGGUGCAUGGUUGUCGUCAGCUCGUGUCGUGAGAUGUUGGGUUAAGUCCCGCAACGAGCGCAACCCUUAUUGUUAGUUACCAGCACGUAAUGGUGGGGACUUUAGCAAGACUGCCAGUGAUAAAUUGGAGGAAGGUGGGGACGACGUCAAAUCAUCAUGCCCCUUAUGACCUGGGCUACAAACGUGAUACAAUGGCUGUUACAAAGGGUAGCUGAAGCGCAAGUUUUUGGCGAAUCUCAAAAAAACAGUCUCAGUUCGGAUUGAAGUCUGCAACUCGACUUCAUGAAGUUGGAAUCGCUAGUAAUCGCGAAUCAGCAUGUCGCGGUGAAUACGUUCUCGGGGUUUGUACACACCGCCCGUCAAACCACGAAAGUUGGCAAUACCCAAAGCCGGUGGCCUAACUUCGCAAGAAGAGGGAACCGUCUAAGGUAGGGUCGAUGAUUGGGGUUAAG